AUCCCCUGCAGCGACGGAUCGCUGAGGAUCAAGGACGAUGACCAGGCCCGGAUGGCCACCGACAGGAUGUCGGAUGGUUGGGAAGAAACCCGCUUCGGCGGGUUUUUU
rfam:Pseudomonas sp. EGD-AK9 Contig_231, whole genome shotgun sequence.